GAUGAACGCUAGCUACAGGCUUAACACAUGCAAGUCGAGGGGCAGCGGGAUUGAAGCUUGCUUCAAUUGCCGGCGACCGGCGCACGGGUGAGUAACGCGUAUCCAACCUUCCGUACACUCAGGGAUAGCCUUUCGAAAGAAAGAUUAAUACCUGAUGGUAUGAUGAGAUUGCAUGAUAUCAUCAUUAAAGAUUUAUCGGUGUACGAUGGGGAUGCGUUCCAUUAGGUAGUAGGCGGGGUAACGGCCCACCUAGCCAACGAUGGAUAGGGGUUCUGAGAGGAAGGUCCCCCACAUUGGAACUGAGACACGGUCCAAACUCCUACGGGAGGCAGCAGUGAGGAAUAGUGGUCAAUGGACGAGAGUCUGAACCAGCCAAGUAGCGUGAAGGAUGAAGGUCCUACGGAUUGUAAACUUCUUUUAUAAGGGAAUAAACCCUCCCACGUGUGGGAGCUUGUAUGUACCUUAUGAAUAAGCAUCGGCUAACUCCGUG
rnacentral:rRNA from 1 species